rnacentral:rRNA from 1 species
ACCUUCGGUGCCCGAGUUGUAAUUUGAAGAAUACAAUCUUGGAAUUGGUCCUUGUCUAUGUUCCUUGGAACAGGACGUCACAGAGGGUGAGAAUCCCGUGCGAUGAGGAUACCUUUUCUUUAUAAGAUGUGUUCGACGAGUCGAGUUGUUUGGGAAUGCAGCUCUAAGUGGGUGGUAAAUUCCAUCUAAAGCUAAAUAUUGGCGAGAGACCGAUAGCGAACAAGUACAGUGAUGGAAAGAUGAAAAGAACUUUGAAAAGAGAGUGAAAAAGUACGUGAAAUUGUUGAAAGGGAAGGGUAUUUGAUCAGACUUGGUAUUUGGGUAUCUCUUCUCCUUGUGGGAGGGGCUCUAGCCUUUUACUGGGCCAGCAUCAGUUCUUGUGGCAAGAUAAUCGCAGUUGAAUGUGGCUCUUCGGAGUGUUAUAGCUUCUGUUGAUGUUGCCUACGGGGACUGAGGUCUGCGGGUUUUCCCUAGGAUGCUGGCGUAAUGAUCAAACACCGCCCGUCUUGAAACAUGGACCAAGGAGUCUAACGUCUAUGCGAGUGUUUGGGUGUAAAACCCGUACGCGUAAUGAAAGUGAACGUAGAUCAGGGCCCUCUUAUGGGUGCAUGAUCGACCGAUCCUGACGUUUUCAGAAGGAUUUGAGUAAGAGCAUAGCUGUUGGGACCCGAAAGAUGGUGAACUAUGCCUGAAUAGGGUGAAGCCAGAGGAAACUCUGGUGGAGGCUCGUAGCGGUUCUGACGUGCAAAUCGAUCGUCAAAUUUGGGUAUAGGGGCGAAAGACUAAUCGAACCAUCUAGUAGCUGGUUCCUGCC